rnacentral:rRNA from 1 species
UGCGUAGGCGGGCCCGUCAGUCAGGGGUGAAAUCCCACGGCCCAACCGUGGAAGUGCCUCUGAUACUGCGGGCCUGGAGGGGGAUAGGGGCGUGCGGAACUUCCGGUGGAGCGGUGAAAUGCGUAGAUAUCGGAAGGAACACCGGUGGCGAAAGCGGCGCGCUGGAUCCCUACUGACGCUGAGGCACGAAAGCCAGGGGAGCAAACG